ensembl:lncRNA
CCCAACUCUCUCACUGGGCCCUCAAAUUGCUCCAGAGGAUCUUAACUAGGAAUGACAACUCAUAUGAAGGCUCCUAAGGGUGAGCUCUCCCAGAAGGAAAAUUUAUCUGCAAAGCAAUCUUUUUUAUUUUUUCCUUCUCCUGAACUCAAGAUGGUAUAUGCCUAAGACACUCAGUGUGGGGCUUAUGAUAGUGGGGUUGAUGCGGGAGAGGAAAAGAGAAGAGAUUCUAAAUACUGAACCGGAUGGAAGGAAUUGGGUGGGAAUCCAAGAUUUAGAAAGCGAAGGUAUCGCUGUUACUGAAGAAGGAAAGGUUGGUGCCUGGGCCUGAGCAGUCUGGGGCUGUUGGGGAGCGAGGAAGUGGUCUUGUGGAGAAAGAGAAGGGCAGCAUCUUUAGCUGGAGAGAGCACAGCCAGGUGUGCGGGUGCAGCGAGGUACAGAAGCCGCCAGGGCGUCCGCUGCCCACCCUGCCCCACCCUAGUUGUUCCAACCUCAGGGCAGCUCCUGUAGUUGUCUUUGGCUCCCCGGAGCCCUGCUCCUCCCCCCUUUCCCUCUCCCCCGCUCCCCACCACAAAGCAACUGGCUUCCAUUACCCCUGACAGCUCCAAGCGGCCGCCCAGCCCAUCCCCACCCCUCCCCUCCCCUCCCCUGACUGACUCCCUGCCGUUCCCUUUUAUGGAUAUUAAGAGAGAAGAGAGGGAGGAGGUGGAGGGGGGGAACCUGGGGGAGAGGGAAGCUGAGUGAUCAGCGAAGGGGUCUCAUUCUCUCCCCAGACCCUCUUCCUACCGGGAACCCGAGAUCUUCUUUCGAGGCUCACCUCCCCCCCACAUCCGGGGGGUGAUUUCCCACUUGACCAAAGCGCCAAGAUUUGAGGUUUGGAUUCCGGGAGACUGCCCCCCCCAACCCUCUCUCGCGGGUAGAGGAAAGAUGGGGGUGGGAAGAUUUCCGGAUCCCCCUACUCUUGAACUCCCUCCCCAGCCGGGCAACGCAGUGAGAAAUCUCAGACACUCUCUUCCACUCCCCACUCCCUUACGGAUCAGAGGACAAAAGGCUCUCUGGGCUGGCGGGAGGGAAAGAAAACUAUUUUUAUCCCAUUAAAUUGUCAGCCUCAACUCCCAGCUCUGGCUCCGAGUACCCGCACACUCGCUUUUCUACCCCCGGGAGGAACAGUCUCGAACCCAGGACCUGGAGCGUUGCAGCCGAACCGGGCGGCUUGGCAAAGCUCAAGAGGAAACACCUGGCGGGAAGCGGGCGGGGGCAGCAGCCCAGGGGGCCCCAACAGGAAAGGGGAGGGCGCUGGCUGCGGAGGGCACAGGGGUCAGGCUAAGCCACUUCCCCGAGCCCGGGACGCGGCCCUGGCCAACCUCGGUAUUGGCUCCUCGGUGUCGGGAAGAGUCUUGCCGGGCUUGCCAGUGUAUCUGACCUUUGCCGCGGGGGCCUGUCAGCUGUGGCCAGCUGUGCCGAGUCAAGCUCAGCGAGCCAAGCAGUCUCGGAGCUGAAGGCAGGAAGCAGGCAGGGCCCGGCCGGGGUGUACCCUUGUGUGUUGUAGGAGGCCAGGCUCAGUUUGGGGGUGUCUAGAGAGGACUGCCCUCAGAGGGACUGUCAAUGUGUCUGUUUGUGUGUGUGAAAAACUGGAUGUGUUGGGAUGCAAAUGUAGGAGGCUGGUCUCUGAAUCCAUGUAUCUACAUGUCAUUUUAAUGGUUGGUAAUGAUUAAAUUUGAAUUCUAACAAGGUGAGUUUUGCCUUCUCACAUCACCAUGCUGUUAAAGAAUGUACUGAUUUCUUUUGGUUUCAGCAUUUCUACCUUAUUUGCUCAGACCCUGUACAUCAAAACAAUGUCAUUGCUACUGUCAUGAGAAACUUUAGAAUUCAGGACCCUGAAGAAGCUGCCAUUUUUCACCCAUGAAGUCAAUGAAUGUUGGCUGAAAGGGAUCUUAAGAGGCCAUUUAGUCCAAGCUUUGACCUGGUCAGGAAUCCCAAUGGAGUCAAGAGUUUGGGAAGAAUGGCCUGUGUGCAGGAGACUUGAGCUCUGAAGGGGUGUUUGCAGCAGGACGCGAGAGGGAAAGUGCAUAUGAAGGAGACAGGGCAUUGUGCUGCGAGUACUCGUAGUUCCGGUCCGGCGCCGCAAAACUGCUCCUUUUCUGCAAGCUCUGUGGGAACGCCAAGAAACAAGAUGAUCACGGACGUGCAGCUGGCCAUCUUCGCCAACAUGCUGGGCGUGUCGCUCUUCCUGCUCGUGGUUCUCUAUCACUACGUGGCGGUCAAUAACCCUAAGAAGCAGGAGUGAGGCGGCGCGGCCCCCCGCAGAUGGCUCUGCGCUCUGGAGGAAGCGUUUUCGGGCUCAUCUCUCCUGCCUGCUCAGAGCCGAGGAUGCCACAAGCCUGAGCCACGCAAAGGCCCCGAGGGACGCGGAGAAGCCUGCCACCAGGACCAAAAGCCUCGAAGAGGAUGGGAAGCAGCUGCUCCAAGGCUGAGGGGUUUGGGCCCCUAUUAAACAUCCCCC